UAGGGAAUAUUGGACAAUGGGGGCAACCCUGAUCCAGCCAUGCCGCGUGGGUGAAGAAGGCCCUCGGGUUGUAAAGCUCUUUUGUCCGGAAAGAAAAGCUUCGGGUUAAUACCCCGGGGUUCUGACGGUACCGGAAGAAUAAGCACCGGCUAACUUCGUGCCAGCAGCCGCGGUAAUACGAAGGGUGCAAGCGUUACUCGGAAUUACUGGGCGUAAAGCGUGCGUAGGUGGUUGUUUAAGUCUGAUGUGAAAGCCCUGGGCUCAACCUGGGAGUGGCAUUGGAAACUGGGCAGCUAGAGUGCGGUAGAGGGCAGUGGAAUUCCAGGUGUAGCAGUGAAAUGCGUAGAGAUCGGGAGGAACAUCUGUGGCGAAGGCGUCUGCCUGGACCAGCACUGACACUGAGGCACGAAAGCGUGGGGAGCAAACA
rnacentral:rRNA from 1 species